rnacentral:misc_RNA from 1 species
GAUGAAGAACGUAUCGAAAUGCGAUACUUGGUGUGAAUUGCAGAAUCCCGUGAACCAUCGAGUCUUUGAACGCAAGUUGCGCCCGAAGCCGUCAGGCCGAGGGCACGCCUGCCUGGGCGUCACACGCCGUUGCCCCCCCGCGCCCCGCACCCAACGCUUUGGGAGCGACCGCGGGGCGGGCUGAUGAUGGCCUCCCGUGCGCUCCGCCGCGCGGUUGGCCCAAAUACCGAGUCCCCGGCGACGUGCGCCACGACGAUCGGUGGUUGAGAGACCUCUGUCGCAAGUCGUGCGCGCCCGUCGCGUCACGCGGGCUCGCAUAGCGCCUCGCGCCGCACCCGGUGCGGAGCUUUCAACGCGACCCCAGGUCAGGCGGGGUUACCCGCUGAAUUUAAGCAUAUCAAUAAGCGGAGGA